UACGAAGGGUGCAAACGUUGCUCGGAAUCAUUGGGCGUAAAGCGCACGUAGGCGGCUCCAAAAGUCGGAUGUGAAAUCCCUGGGCUCAACCGAGGAAGUGCAUCCGAAACUGCGGAGCUUGAGUAUGGAAGAGGGUCGCGGAAUUCCCGGUGUAGAGGUGAAAUUCGUAGAUAUCGGGAGGAACACCAGUGGCGAAGGCGGCGACCUGGGCCAAUACUGACGCUGAGGUGCGAAAGCGUGGGGAGCAAACAGG
rnacentral:rRNA from 2 species